CACAGGGAGCUUGCUCCUGGGUGACGAGCGGCGGACAGGUGAGUAAUGUCUGGGAAACUGCCUGAUGGAGGGGGAUAACUACUGGAAACGGUAGCUAAUACCGCAUAAUGUCGCAAGACCAAAGAGGGGGACCUUCGGGCCUCUUGCCAUCAGAUGUGUCCAGAUGGGGUUAGCUAGUAGGUGGGGUAAUGGCUCACCUAGGCGACGAUCCCUAGCUGGUCUGAGAGGAUGACCAGCCACACUGGAACUGAGACACGGUCCAGACUCCUACGGGAGGCAGCAGUGGGGAAUAUUGCACAAUGGGCGCAAGCCUGAUGCAGCCAUGCCGCGUGUAUGAAGAAGGCCUUCGGGUUGUAAAGUACUUUCAGCGAGGAGGAAGGCAUUAAGGUUAAUAACCUUGGUGAUUGACGUUACUCGCAGAAGAAGCACCGGCUAACUCCGUGCCAGCAGCCGCGGUAAUACGGAGGGUGCAAGCGUUAAUCGGAAUUACUGGGCGUAAAGCGCACGCAGGCGGUCUGUCAAGUCGGAUGUGAAAUCCCCGGGCUCAACCUGGGAACUGCAUUCGAAACUGGCAGGCUAGAGUCUUGUAGAGGGGGGUAGAAUUCCAGGUGUAGCGGUGAAAUGCGUAGAGAUCUGGAGGAAUCCCGGUGGCGAAGGCGGCCCCCUGGACAAAGACUGACGCUCAGGUGCGAAAGCGUGGGGAGCAAACAGGAUUAGAUAUCCCUGGUAGUCCACGCCGUAAACGAANUCGACCUUGGAGGCUGUUCCCUUGAGGA
rnacentral:rRNA from 1 species